rnacentral:rRNA from 2 species
AGCUCCAAUAGCGUAUAUUAAAGUUGUUGCAGUUAAAAAGCUCGUAGUUGGAUUUCUGGUGGGAGGGAUCAGUCCGACACUAUGUGUGGGAACUCGUAUCCUCUCCGGCCAUCCUUGGGUGGAUCCUGUCUGGCAUUAGGUUGUCGGGUAGGGGAUGCCCAUCGUUUACUGUGAAAAAAUUAGAGUGUUCAAAGCAGGCUUAUGCCAUUGAAUAUAUUAGCAUGGAAUAAUAAGAUAGGGCCCUGGUACUAUUUUGUUGGUUUGCGUACCGGUGUAAUGAUUAAUAGGGACAGUUGGGGGUAUUCGUAUUCAGUAUUCAGUGGUGAAAUACUUGGAUCUACGGAAGACGAACUACUGCGAAAGCAUUUACCAAGGAUGUUUUCAUUA